CCUACGGGAGGCAGCAGUUGGGAAUUUUGCACAAUGGACGAAAGUCUGAUGCAGCAACGCCGCGUGCGGGAUGAAGAUUUUCGGAUUGUAAACCGCUUUUAUUUGGGAGUAACUGUUUGAACGUACCAAAUGAAUAAGCACCGGCUAACUCCGUGCCAGCAGCCGCGGUAAUACGGAGGGUGCAAACGUUGUCCGGAAUUACUGGGCGUAAAGCGCAUGUAGGUGGUCUAAUAAGUGAACGAUUAAAUACCGACGCUUAACGUCGGAAAGGUUAUUCAUACUGUUAGACUCGAGGAAGACAGGGGCAGAUGGAACUUUAAGUGUAGGAGUGAUAUCCGUAGAUAUUUAAAGGAACACCAAUGGCGAAGGCAGUCUGCUGGGUCUUUUCUGACACUGAGAUGCGAAAGUGUGGGGAGCAAACGGGAUUAGAUACCCCGGUAGUCCACACUGUAAACGAUGCUCACUAGGUCUUGGAGGGUAUCGACCCCCUUUUGGACCCGUAAGCUAACGCGUUAAGUGAGCCGCCUGGGGAGUACGAACGCAAGUUUAAACUCAAAUGAAUUGACGG
rnacentral:rRNA from 1 species